UACGUAGGGGGCAAGCGUUGUCCGGAUUUAUUGGGCGUAAAGAGCUCGUAGGUGGUUCGGUAAGUCGGAUGUGAAAUCUCCAGGCUCAACCUGGAGGGGUCAUUCGAUACUGCCGUGACUAGAGGUCGGUAGGGGAGUGUGGAAUUCCUGGUGUAGCGGUGAAAUGCGUAGAUAUCGUAAGGAAGACCAGUGGCGAAGGCGGGUCUCUGGACAGUUCCUGACGCUGAGGCACGAAGGUCAGGGGGGCAAACGGG
rnacentral:rRNA from 1 species